rnacentral:rRNA from 1 species
UACGAAGGGGGCUAGCGUUGCUCGGAAUCACUGGGCGUAAAGGGUGCGUAGGCGGGUCUUUAAGUCAGGGGUGAAAUCCUGGAGCUCAACUCCGGAACUGCCUUUGAUACUGAGGAUCUUGAGUUCGGGAGAGGUGAGUGGAACUGCGAGUGUAGAGGUGAAAUUCGUAGAUAUUCGCAAGAACACCAGUGGCGAAGGCGGCUCACUGGCCCGGUACUGACGCUGAGGUGCGAAAGCGUGGGGAGCAAACAGG